GUGAAAGGCGGUAACUGGCCCGCCGGCGAUGGUGUCGAGCGGUGUGGCUACUGUAGGUGUAUUAUUAUCCAUAGCUUUCUUAUUCAGGGGCACUUCUAUCACCUUAGAUUUCACCAUCUGCACGAAUUGCCUUAUCGCAUGGAAUGGAUCUACUCAACCAAGGUCCAUCUCCACAUGUUUCUUAACCGCUGCAUCCAAACAUAACCUUUUGAUCUUUAUUCAGUAAUCCCAAACAUGCAAAGGACCAUGUGGAGAUUAGAUGCUAACCUCAUCCAGUACGGCAACUUUAUGCACAAUCCCAUCUUUGGACUCAUCUCUAAAUUGGAGAUUAUGUGGUGUUCGAGAUUAAUCGGGUGGAUGCGCCUGGAAAGCACAACUACUGUCUGAAUUGUCCAAUGUGCCGCAAGCGCGAAAUCACAUGUGCCCUCAAACGCGUACUUGCGUAUCGAGCUUUCAUCUUCGACGUCAGAAGGUGUUUAUCCAUAGCACUGGAGAGAUCGAAAGGGCGUGAUGAAGCUCCGGAGUCGUCUACUCAACAGAGCUGCUCAGACCUCCGUCGCGGACUGGUAGUCAAUCACGCUUGAAAUGGCUGGGUUUUAUUUGUACGCAGAUUCCGUGAAAUCAAGGAUUGCACACGCCCUUGUAGCGCCUUCCCUAUCGGAGGACAAUCAGGAGUUUGAUCGGACCUGAACUGUGGACUCCAUUGAACUUGAAUAUAUAGAUUGCGAGUGGGCUAGGGAUCUUGCUAGGUAGUGAUAAUUGUAAUGUUGUAAGCUCGGAUCAACGGUUUUGUAUUUGUCAAUGGAGGCGGUUGUUAGCUAGGGCACGCUCUUACUAGUAAUCAAUGAAGCAUUGAAGGAGGCGUCUAUUACUAAGAUUGAUUACUGUAAUUUGCUGAUUCAUUGCUGUUUCUGUUUAAUCACAAAUCACUUGAUUGAAGAA